UACAGAGGUCCCAAGCGUUGUUCGGAUUCACUGGGCGUAAAGGGUGCGUAGGUGGCCAGGUAAGUUCGGUGUGAAAGCUCGGAGCUUAACUCCGAAAUGUCAUUGAAUACUAUCUGGCUAGAGGGUCGGAGGGGAGACUGGAAUUCUCGGUGUAGCAGUGAAAUGCGUAGAUAUCGAGAGGAACACCAGUGGCGAAGGCGAGUCUCUGGACAGUUCCUGACACUGAGGCACGAAGGCCAGGGGAGCAAACGGG
rnacentral:rRNA from 1 species